rnacentral:tRNA from 1 species
CGAAAAGGAAAGAGAGG